AAGGAUCAGUAGCCUCUCUCUAGAAGGAUCAGUAGCCUCUCUCUAGAAGCAUCACGGUCAGUUGGUUGACAGGAGACAACAGCUCCAUCUGAUAUUGGGGAAGUAGUGACCGAACUUACAGACUUUUGCAGUGUGUCUGUGUGUGUGCACGUGUGUCUGUGUGUGUGCACGUGUGUCUGUGUGUGAGGGGGUGGGUGGUACUUGAUUCCCCCACCAAUAGGUCUGAUACCGCAUGAUGAAACUAAAUGUAACGUCAUGACACAUCGAGCAGGGAGCAGUGAAAACACACAACAAUCUCCGACCAGAAAAGGCAGAGCUCUACCGCAGAAGACAAGGGAGAGCUCGACCGCAGAAGACAAGGGAGAGCUCGACCGCAAAAGACAAGGGAGAGCUCGACCGCAAAAGACAAGGGAGAGCUCUACCGCAGAAGACAAGGGAGAGCUCUACCGCAGAAGACAAGGGAGAGCUCUACCGCAGAAGACAAGGGAGAGCUCGACCGCAGAAGACAAGGGAGAGCUCGACCGCAAAAGACAAGGGAGAGCUCGACCGCAAAAGACAAGGGAGAGCUCGACCGCAAAAGACAAGGGAGAGCUCGACCGCAAAAGACAAGGGAGAGCUCGACCGCAAAAGACAAGGGAGAGCUCGACCGCAAAAGACAAGGGAGAGCUCCACCGCAGAAGGGAGAGCUCCACCAGAGAAGACAAGGGAGAGCUCCACCAGAGAAGACAAGGGAGAGCUCCACCAGAGAAGACAAGGGAGAGCUCCACCACAGAAGACAAGGGAGAGCUCGACCACAGAAGACAAGGGAGAGCUCCACCACAGCAGACAAGGGAGAGCUCCACCACAGUAGACAAGGGAGAGCUCAACCACAGUAGACAAGGGAGAGCUCCACCACAGAAGACAAGGGAGAGCUCAACCACAGUAGACAACGGAGAGCUCAACCACAGAAGACAAGAGAAAGCUCCACCACAGAAGACAAGGGAGAGCUCCACCACAGAAGACAAGGGAGAGCUCCACCACAGAAGACAAGGGAGAGCUCCACCACAGAAGACAAGGGAGAGCUCCACCACAGAAGACAAGGGAGAGCUCCACCACAGAAGACAAGGGAGAUCUCCACCACAGAAGCAAAGG
rnacentral:lncRNA from 8 species